GCUCCGGUAGUAUAGUCCGGUCAAACUUGAAAAAGGACCAUGUAUAGCGGCCUCUCGAGUCGCGGACCCGGGUUCAAAUCCCGGCCGGAGCACCA
rnacentral:tRNA from 1 species